rnacentral:rRNA from 1 species
AUUGAACGCUGGCGGCACGCUUUACACAUGCAAGUCGAGCGGCAGCGCGUCCCCGCAAGGGGAUGGCGGCGAGCGGCGAACGGGUGAGUAAUACAUCGGAACGUGUCCCGUAGUGGGGGAUAACUCAGCGAAAGCUGGGCUAAUACCGCAUAUGCUCUACGGAGGAAAGUGGGGGACCCGCAAGGGCCUCACGCUAUGGGAGCGGCCGAUGUCCGAUUAGCUUGUUGGUGGGGUAAAGGCCCACCAAGGCGACGAUCGGUGGCUGGUCUGAGAGGAUGAUCAGCCACACUGGGACUGAGACACGGCCCAGACUCCUACGGGAGGCAGCAGUGGGGAAUUUUGGACAAUGGGGGCAACCCUGAUCCAGCCAUGCCGCGUGCGGGAAGAAGGCCUUCGGGUUGUAAACCGCUUUUGUCCGGGAAGAAAUGACUUCUCCUAAUACGGGAGGUUCUUGACGGUACCGGAAGAAUAAGCACCGGCUAACUACGUGCCAGCAGCCGCCGUAAUAC